GACGAACGCUGGCGGCGUGCUUAACACAUGCAAGUCGAACGGAAAGGCCCUGCUUUUGUGGGGUGCUCGAGUGGCGAACGGGUGAGUAACACGUGAGUAACCUGCCCUUGACUUUGGGAUAACUUCAGGAAACUGGGGCUAAUACCGGAUAGGAGCUCCUGCUGCAUGGUGGGGGUUGGAAAGUUUCGGCGGUUGGGGAUGGACUCGCGGCUUAUCAGCUUGUUGGUGGGGUAGUGGCUUACCAAGGCUUUGACGGGUAGCCGGCCUGAGAGGGUGACCGGCCACAUUGGGACUGAGAUACGGCCCAGACUCCUACGGGAGGCAGCAGUGGGGAAUAUUGCACAAUGGGCGGAAGCCCGAUGCAGCAACGCCGCGUGCGGGAUGACGGCCUUCGGGUUGUAAACCGCUUUCGCCUGUGACGAAGCGUGAGUGACGGUACUGGGUAAAGAAGCACCGGCUAACUACGUG
rnacentral:rRNA from 1 species